AACGAACGCUGGCGGCAUGCCUAACACAUGCAAGUCGAACGAACAUCUUCGGGUGUUAGUGGCGCACGGGUGAGUAACGCGUGGGAACCUGCCUUAUGGUACGGGAUAACGUCGGGAAACUGACGCUAAUACCGUAUAUGUCUUCGGAUGAAAGAUUUAUCGCCAUAAGAGGGGCCCGCGUCUGAUUAGGUAGUUGGUGAGGUAAUGGCUCACCAAGCCUUCGAUCAGUAGCUGGUCUGAGAGGAUGAUCAGCCACACUGGGACUGGA
rnacentral:rRNA from 1 species